rnacentral:rRNA from 1 species
AUUGAACGCUGGCGGCAGGCCUAACACAUGCAAGUCGAGCGGUAGCACAGAGAGCUUGCUCUCGGGUGACGAGCGGCGGACGGGUGAGUAAUGUCUGGGAAACUGCCUGAUGGAGGGGGAUAACUACUGGAAACGGUAGCUAAUACCGCAUAACGUCGCAAGACCAAAGUGGGGGACCUUCGGGCCUCAUGCCAUCAGAUGUGCCCAGAUGGGAUUAGCUAGUAGGUGGGGUAACGGCUCACCUAGGCGACGAUCCCUAGCUGGUCUGAGAGGAUGACCAGCCACACUGGAACUGAGACACGGUCCAGACUCCUACGGGAGGCAGCAGUGGGGAAUAUUGCACAAUGGGCGCAAGCCUGAUGCAGCCAUGCCGCGUGUGUGAAGAAGGCCUUCGGGUUGUAAAGCACUUUCAGCGGGGAGGAAGGCGAUAAGGUUAAUAACCUUGUCGAUUGACGUUACCCGCAGAAGAAGCACCGGCUAACUCCGUGCCAGCAGCCGCGGUAAUACGGAGGGUGCAAGCGUCAAUCGGAAUUACUGGGCGUAAAGCGCACGCAGGCGGUCUGUCAAGUCGGAUGUGAAAUCCCCGGGCUCAACCUGGGAACUGCAUUCGAAACUGGCAGGCUAGAGUCUUGUAGAGGGGGGUAGAAUUCCAGGUGUAGCGGUGAAAUGCGUAGAGAUCUGGAGGAAUACCGGUGGCGAAGGCGGUCCCCUGGACAAAGACUGACGCUCAGGUGCGAAAGCGUGGGGAGCAAACAGGAUUAGAUACCCUGGUAGUCCACGCCGUAAACGAUGUCGAUUUGGAGGUUGUGCCCUUGAGGCGUGGCUUCCGGAGCUAACGCGUUAAAUCGACCGCCUGGGGAGUACGGCCGCAAGGUUAAAACUCAAAUGAAUUGACGGGGGCCCGCACAAGCGGUGGAGCAUGUGGUUUAAUUCGAUGCAACGCGAAGAACCUUACCUGGUCUUGACAUCCACAGAACUUAGCAGAGAUGCUUUGGUGCCUUCGGGAACUGUGAGACAGGUGCUGCAUGGCUGUCGUCAGCUCGUGUUGUGAAAUGUUGGGUUAAGUCCCGCAACGAGCGCAACCCUUAUCCUUUGUUGCCAGCGGUUAGGCCGGGAACUCAAAGGAGACUGCCAGUGAUAAACUGGAGGAAGGUGGGGAUGACGUCAAGUCAUCAUGGCCCUUACGACCAGGGCUACACACGUGCUACAAUGGCAUAUACAAAGAGAAGCGACCUCGCGAGAGCAAGCGGACCUCAUAAAGUAUGUCGUAGUCCGGAUUGGAGUCUGCAACUCGACUCCAUGAAGUCGGAAUCGCUAGUAAUCGUAGAUCAGAAUGCUACGGUGAAUACGUUCCCGGGCCUUGUACACACCGCCCGUCACACCAUGGGAGUGGGUUGCAAAAGAAGUAGGUAGCUUAACCUUCGGGAGGGCGCUUACCACUUUGUGAUUCAUGACUGGGGUGA